rnacentral:rRNA from 1 species
GAUGAACGCUAGCGGGAGGCCUAACACAUGCAAGCCGAGCGGUAGAGUUUCUUCGGAAACUUGAGAGCGGCGCACGGGUGCGUAACACGUGUGCAACCUACCUUUAUCUGGGGGAUAGCCUUUCGAAAGGAAGAUUAAUACCCCAUAAUAUAAUGAUUGGCAUCAAUUAUUAUUGAAAACUCCGGUGGAUAGAGAUGGGCACGCGCAAGAUUAGAUAGUUGGUGAGGUAACGGCUCACCAAGUCAAUGAUCUUUAGGGGUCCUGAGAGGGAGAUCCCCCACACUGGUACUGAGACACGGACCAGACUCCUACGGGAGGCAGCUGUGAGGAAUAGUAAACAAGGCGUGAGAGCCUGAUCCAGCCAUCCCGCGUGAAGGAUGACGGUCCUAGGGAUUGUAAACUUCUUUUGUACAGGGAUAAACCUACCCUCGUGAGGGUAGCUGAAGGUACUGUACGAAUAAGCACCGGCUAACUCCGUG